CUCCUGACCUCGUGAUCUGCCCACUUCGGCCUCCCAGAGUGCUGGGAUUACAGGCGGGAGCCACCGCACCCGGCUGCACUUUUCAAUAAACAACGAUUCUGCCGCAAGUCUUGGCUGAACCGUGUGGCCUUCUCUUCUGGCGACUCUAUCUAGCCAUCUGUGUGAACAGGACAUGUGGGUGGCGGUAGUGGCACUUUUCCAAAUAACUCUGUAUGCCAGCAGUGGUCGUGGAUCACACUAAUUGUUCUGCUAUUCAAUUAAAGGGAUUUUUUUUCUUCCAGAUGCUUCAUUCUUUAAAUGUGUUAGCUAUAGGGCAAUCCAUUUUAAACUGGGAACUUGGUUGCUUUCUCUGAUCUUAAAGCAGAUUGCUGGUACUUGUCUGUUUCUAUCACUUUUUGCUCCUCUGCCCUUUCCACUUCCACACCUCUCGGCUCCGAGAACUGAUAACGUUGCUUUUUAGUCUCUGGCUGGGUUAUGGACAUAGAAAGCCAAACCACAAUAGGUUAGAUGUGAAGCGUAGUGAUAAAGAGGAAAACAAUAUGAUGGUAAAUAUGUGGGUUGCAUUUUCAAUUUUGCAUUUUUAUUGCAUUCCUAUUUUUCCAUUAAGUAAUUCUCCCUGAGCUUGGCCACAUUUUUUCUGACGCCGGAUAUGUGUGUUUGUUGAUUUGCAGUAUUGUUAUGCUUUAUGUAUAUGUUUGACAGGAUGCAUAUUCAUUCCACUAACAUUCAUUAGCACUCAAAUGAAUGCACAGACGUGAAUGAUAGAUUUAAGCACACGUGUCUGCUUUCCUUCUGAUAAACAAUAGCUUUUCAGGACUGUCGACUAGUGAGGAUUCUCAACAGAGCUUUAUUUGAGAACAAAUGGAGAAUCUCUCUUCAAUUACAUAAUUAGAAUUAAAUCCUAGAAAGGCACCUCAGUGGCUGGUAAACCUUUCUGCAGACUUCGUUUUGUGAAAGAAAAUGCUAGUAACUGCUGCUUGUUCCUGCACAUUGUUUUGUUUUGGAUAUGUUCAAAUAUAAUUGUUUCUGCUGUUCAGUGGCCUCCUGUUUGCAAGCAUGUAUUUGUUAAAACACAUUGAGAAGGAAAUUUUCAGUUUUUAGGAAAAUCAGUUUUGAACUAGAAUUCAUAGACCAUGCUUUCCGUGGUGACAAUGCUGGAUUGCUUCACAGCACUGGUCCUCUCGCGCUGCCGAGUGGAACGAUGACUAGGCACUGUGUGACGAGGCACGAUGCUGAUUAGUAUCCAGAAAAAAAGUCCUCAACACCAUGUAGCUUUCUAAGCUCUUGCUUUACAUAAAUAUGCUGGUAACUACUGACUCUUAAGUUUUGGCAGUGAUUUUGCUAGUAAACAUAUUUUCAGGCCAGAAACUCUACAAUGUAAAGUAAGAUAUUGCCCCCACUCCCCAGCCAAGAAAAAAAAAAAAAAAAAGGGAAUGAAAUGCGUGGCUGUAUCAGCCCUUGCCCCUCAAAUGGGUUUUGGCAUACUUUAAGAGAAAUAAAAUAUAAUUUAAUUCUCAAAGAAUUUAGGAUGCUCUUCCAGAAAGAGACGAGUCAGCUUCCCACAUCAAACAGAGGGGAGUCUUUCUCAUAUUUGGUCCAUCUUCUGUAUUUACAGAAUUUUUGCAUUACUUUCUUUUCUUGGUUUAUAACAAUUCAAUAAUUCUUUUCUUUAAAGCUGUCUAAGAAAUGUGUGUUUCACUGAUCCUAGAGGCGGUGCAAUUCUGGACAGCACUUACAACGAAGGUUUAUGUUCACACAAAUUGUCUAGCUACUAAUUCAGAGAGGUCUUCUGUGUAUGGACAUUGGAGUAAUUUAAGCUCAACUGUUUUUCAAGUCAACAAAUAUUGACAUUUGCCUGUUACACUCCAGGCAUUGUUCUUUUUUCUUCACAUUCUUUCUUGCUUUCUACAAGUUAGGCUAAUCCACUAUUAAAGUAGAGACACGAUAACACGAAUUAUUAUUGCAAUAUUAAUUUUCGAAAAACAAAAUAAGGAAAGCAUAUUUUGAAUGGCGGGAGGUGUGGACAAUCAGUGGAAAAUCCAGGUUUGUCUUUUUAUUUUUUGUGCCAGGUCUUGUUCGCUCAGUGUUUACAGUUGGGACCGAUACAAGUCAGUUACCUGAGAAAAUCUGUUAGAGAAAAUAGCUACUGAAACUCUGAAGAAUCUGUCUUUCCUGCUUAUUUUUCAAGCUUACUCUAACAUAUUUAAAUCAGCAAAUUUCUAGUGAAACUGAAAAAAGGUCUGUCCUGUUGGUCAGGCUUACGUAAACACAGUUAUGUAAGCAGUACUUGAGGGCAGAAAUUGUCCCAGGCACAAGCUAUUGUCACAACUAAGCUUUUUACAAGGCAAGGAUGAAUAAACUCACGACUUUAGUUGUGCCCCAUAGUCUGUUAAUCUUUCCAUCUUUUAAUGCAAACUUAUUCAUACUGGAAAAAUAUAUAUUAUAAUUCACAUUAUAUGUGUACAUUCACAUACACAUUAUUGAGACUUCUAUUGGAAAUACGUAGAAAUACUUUGUAGGCAUUUGUAAUCUUCAGGUGAUAAGUAUACAAUUAAAUACACAUCAUGAUGACUAUUUUUGUAAAAUGAUUAUAGCUAAUUAUUCAAAAGUGCUUGAAAUCUGUAUGUACCUCCUGAUUAGGAAUCUAAUAACUACAUAUUAAAAUUUAAAAUUAUUAGAAAUGUUAUGUUUCACAACGUUUAAUGAACCUAAAUAAUUUGGAAUACUAACCUUAUAAAACAUAAUUAUAAAAUGCAGGUAGUUUUUAAUGGAAUCAAGGCUUUCUUGUUUAUUCAAUGAAAUUUCAUGUUUUCUUAGCUUACAAACUAAUAGGAGUAUCAAUUUAAUUUUUACAAACCUAAGCUCCUUUACAUUUUAAAGUAGAAAUUAGAGUAUUUCCCAUUGUAGAAGCUUUUUGUGAUGUGAAAACAGCAUUUAGUGAAGUACUUCCACGAAGUCUUAGCAAUCUGCUUAUUUCAAUGGGAAAUAACUGAAUAUAAAAACAUUUAGCAGUUUUGAUCAGUGAACUUAUGCUGACAUCCUUUUGGCGUAUCUAUAAUAUAUUAUUAAUACAUUGCUAAUAAUAUUUAUAAUUUAAAAUAGUUUCCAAUUGCUGAGGAGCACUUAGAGAUGAAAACCUUCUUUCAUGUAUAGAAAUUAUGGAAGUCCCAGAUGUGAAAAUUGCCGUGUAUUUUUGGUUACGGACACACCCCGAGUUCUCCUCAGGCCGUGGUAAGCAUACGGCACAGAGAUCCUAAUGGCCAGUCCAGGAGUGCCCGUGUCCGCAAGCACUGAGUGGAUGAUGGCCCCCAGAACAUUCCACAAGGCUGAAGCGAGCACUUCAGUCUGCACAUGAGGGUGGCGACAGACAUCAAUUAGGAAACUGAUGUCAAUUACAAAAUUCCUUUUGCGUGAAAAAUUCAUCUUCAGUUUAUAAGGGUUGAUUAUUCCUCCUGUGCCUUUUUAUUUCCUGAAAGUCACACUUGAAUAUUAAGAAGAAAGAAUUUUACAAAACCAAAAAUGGCUGACAGCAGGCAAGUGAGAACUAUUAGUUAACUGAUCAAAAACAAAAAAAAAAAAGAGUGGAAGUGGACAGAGAAGAAAACUGGCAAUAAACUGAUUAUAACUUCCUCUGUCCCUUCUUCCUUUCUUCCUUCUAGCCCGCCGUUAUAUUAUUUUUUAACAGAAGAAAUUUUCCUGGGAAAACUGGAAGUUUUUUAUUCUGAAGCAGUAACAAGUAACUUCCGUGACUUUGCCAUUUUAGCUUUCACUCUUGGUGAAGCUCAAGGCAGUGGCAGAUGAAGGCAGGCCUCCUGCAACUACAAGUCACUUUUCCCUGCUCAGAGGGCCUCCCACCUCAGCUAUGGGCAAGGCCUACCUGGCAGGUAGCCCAAGGGAGGGCUGUGGGUCACUGCCCACCACUGUCUUCUAGCACAUCCAUACCAUAUAUGUACACAUGUACAUAUGCACACCCCACCCCCUGCAUACACACCUACAUUCACAGGCAUGGAUACGCACAUGCACGUAUGCAAGCUCACAUGUGCACAUGCACACAGCACCCCCCACAAACACACACCUACACUCAGGUACACACAGAUACAGACAUGCACACCCAUGCCUGCACAUACACAUGCAAACACUCCUACAUCCACAUGCCCACGCUCACAGGCACAUACGCACAGAUGCGUACACAUACCCACACACAUGCACACAUCCACGUCCACGUCCACACCCACACACACUAUUAAGAAAAAAUCAAAAACUUAAACUGAAUUUGGAGGUAGCAGCUACCAAUAAGAGUUGCAGUGAGCUAACUGGGGACAGGUCCCACCGGAAAUCAUAACGGUGGGUGUCAGGAACUAGGGGGAAGAGGCUGCAGGGGCUCCAGGCCUUUAGGAUGUUUAGAUUCCAUUGGUCUUAGCCUUGUUUUAACCUACCUUGCAUCACUCUGUCUCAUCAAUCAUAAUUUAAAUAUUUGUUUUCUCUACGUCUCUUUGAUCUUUUCUGUAAAUUGAGGUCUUCGACAGAAUUUUAUGUAAAAAGAAUGCUGACAGCGGCAUUCGAAGUUUUAAAAUUCUCUCUGAUUAACACAUUUCUCUUUUGUGGCUGAACCACUCAUCAUAGGAGGAUUGUUCACUAGUCCUUUGCUUUCAACAGGCCUUAAGAUCAUCUGUGGAUUGUGUAACUGGAGAAUUGUGUUUGGGAGGGUUUGGGCUUCCUGGCCACGAGGCAUCUUCUCUCCCAUCUUGCAGUAAGUUGACCAUCUCUGCGCUGGUCGAUCCACAGUCCUGGUGGUCUGAGAGGUACCUUGCUCUCUUAUAGUACCUCUUUCUGCGUCUGUUGCUAGAAAGUGUUCAGAAGAACCAAUGUAUUUUCCCAAGAAAAAGAAAUCAGAAACCUGGUGUAUUGUGCCUGAUGCUUUAGAUAAACUAAUCCAAAUCAGGUGAGUUGUCUGUUGUUUACAGUUGAAUGUCAAACAGAGAAAGCUGAUACAUAGAUCCAAUAACUCUGUUAUCCCACAUUGUACAUAGACUCCAACGUUCUGUCUAAGUCGUUAAGUUUCAAGGGAAAGCAAAGAUGGGAGGGUAGUUCAUACUUACGCUUUCCUGUUUUGUUUUGUUUUUUUGUGUGUGUACCAUUCAGCAACCUUGUCCCUCCUUGGUGUGCUCUGCAGGUGGUGGCCCCACCCUCUGUCAUAUAAAUCCUCCUGCCUAGACUUCGCAUUUUUGUGAGGCAUGGUUUUGAAAUUUCAGAAAUUAAUUUCUUUUGGGCAAUGCCUAGAUUCAGCUGUGAAUGAGUCUGUGCACAGAUUGUGAAACGUGCUCUGGCCUCGUUCGUCUCUGUUGAAAGGAAAUGGCAGCCCCUUGCCAUACCAGGAAAGGGUAAGUCACAAAAAGUGAUUUUGCUCUUGUUUAUUCUGUGACGUACAUUCCUUUGAAAACAUUUUAGUUUUUCAACCCCAGAAGGAAAACCAUCAGCCUUGCUAAAAUUUAUUGUUAAGCCUAGCAAAGUGGAAAUGAUAGUGGAAAAUAUUAAAGAGGUAUAAUUUUUACUUUUUGAGACUUUGUACAAAUAGUAAAACAUGCCUUUCCCGGUAUCUGUUCAGACUUAUCUACAAAAGCCCAAGCAGCCAAAGGGACGGUAACAACCCAGGUGUCAUUUAUUUUCUUAAGAUGUAAUUUAAUGUAACAGGACAGAAACAUCCAGAGGUUCACGACCGGGAAAAAAAUAAUAUGGCCACGAAUAGUGUGAUUUGCAUUUAACUUUUCAUUUUAGAAAGGCUAAAUGAAAAGAAAAAAAUGCUAAAUAUAUUUUAAUCUGCCAAGGGAAUGAAUGCUUUCUAGCUUGUUUUCUAAACUGCUCACAAGAGUGGAAUUGCUGCAGGAACCCCCCUCUGUACUGGAUUAAAUAUUCUGCAGGGCCAUCCAAGGUUAAGUCUCUUCUUUAUUUAAACUGCAACACAUUUCCUAUUUUUCAUCCUCGGUUCUAUUACUGUGUGUAUAUUUUUAAUAAACAAACUUAUUUUCCUUUAUCUUUUUCUUAUUUAGUUUAAUAUAUUUUUAAACAAGUGAGCUUCAGAGAAUCAUUGUGAAUCUCAAUUGCAUAUGUAAAAAUACUUUCAUCGUCUAUGAAGAGCUAUAAAAACAUAAAGUAUUGCCAUUAUAUGUGCAGCAUAUCUUAUAAUUCUGCAUUUCAAAUGCAUGAGCAGUAUCAUGUGAAAAACCCUAAUUAUCUUAUUUAGCUCACACGGGUACAUUCAAAAUAAGUACUUCAGCUUGGCAAUAUUGACAAAGUCCAAGCAGAUUUUUUCCCCUCUUUGACACCUUUAAUUUUUGGGCAAAAUAUGCAUGGAAAAAAUUCUAUUUAUGAAUUACAGUAAGGCCUUAAUAAGUUAUUUCAGCCAAGAAGUCAGAUACCUUUACAUGUUUUGUUAAAUGUAAAGAUAGAAUUUGAUUGUUUGACAAUUUAGUGCUAUCACCAAUUUAUAAAAAGUAACUAAAAGCAAGUUUAUACCAUUAAUUUUUUGAUUAAUAUGUACAGAUGAAGUUUCUUUUCUUUCUUAAAUCGGUUGCCCACAUGUGUUUUUCCAGGUUUUAGUUUCAGCUCACAGACACGGCCACCUUUUGCUCCACAGAAAGUUCUUAUCAUUUUCCAUUUCGAGGUAAAUUGAUGUACAAUUACCAAGCUCAUCAAUUACGCCAAUAACAGAAAUGCGUAUCAACCAAGAGAAAGUAGCUCUGGAGAUUAAGAAAAUGACCUAGGUUCAGUCUCAUUUUAAAGAUAGAAAAAUGGAAAUGUCUUAGUCUUUCAUGGACACACUUUCAGGGUAUUGAAUUAAAGUAAUCGUCUUUGAUAAUUAAGUCUACUAAACGUGUACAUAUUUUCAACCAUUCUAAAUCUUUUAAAAAAUAUAUAUCGUGCAAAAUGCAUCGGAUGUUAACAAUUUAUUCUCUCUGUAUUAGUUUAGAAAUUAAAGAUGCAUACGUCCAAGAUGAAAUCAAAAGUCAGUUUUAAGGUGUAAAUUAUCUAAGCCAGGUAUAUAAAUUUAAUUUUUGCCAAAGUUGUGUUUUUACAUGUAUCCACUGAACUAGAGCCUCCUGUGAAUGUCAGGCAAUAGGAAAUUUAUAGUGAUGGUAGAUUAUUAGAGCGACAUGGUGUAGCACCUUGAGAAAAUAAAAUAUUUCACCGUCGACCUUCAUAUUCCUAACAAAAAAUGCUGGUACAACAUACACAUUUUGAAAUUAGUGUGAAACCCCAGUGCUACAGUGAUGAAGCAAGCUCCUUUUUAAUUUUAGUUUUUUUAUAUUAACCCGACCAAAAUUUAGAGCCAGUCCAUUUUAUGAUGAUUUUAGACACUCGGUGUCAAUUGUUCAAUGGUACCAACUAACUUUUCAUAUCACCUCUUAUUUAUCGUUUGCUUUUCACAGCAACUGAGCACAUCACUGUGCUUUCUCCUUUUCCCUGAAGAAGUAAACUUGCCUUUUUAGCUUCCUGAAAAAAGCAGGCGACUCUGGUGGCUUAUAUUUAGUUACAAUUCAUAAAGGCAGGACUGCGAGUCAGACCCGGGACUUUUUUCUUUUCUGUUGUGUGUUUGCGUGCUGAUGGGGACUGGCUUUUCUUCUUACUGUUGUAGUUUGAAAUGGAAACGCUGCACUGCUGAGAAAAUACCAUGAAAAUAUAACCCACUGCAUUCCAGGAAAAUAAAUAAGCAAGGCCACCCAAAUUUUCAAUUAGUGCUCCGGCAGAAUGCAGGAAAUGGCAAGAGAUCCGUCCAAGGCACCCUAGGCCGGGUCGUGGGUAGAGAGCAGGGACGAAGGCUGGGAGGGGACACAGGCGCAGUGUGAAGAUGGCCCGUCUCCAAGGAAAACUGCGUGCUAAUAGGCUGGGCUGGCUUCCUGGAUCAGCCCGGCUGGGCUGUCCGUUCUGACUGAGGGUGCAGCUGUGCUUCGUUCGGGGCAGGGUGCUGCCUGGUGAAGUGACACUCGAGAGUUCCAGGGGCACUUCCUAUCUUACACGAUAAGCUUAACCAACGUUCUCCAUAACCCCCUCCCUGCCAUGGGAAGCGUCAGCCUCCUGAAACAGCAGUAUGCUGGUCCAUUGUAAAAAGGAUCAAAAGCUUUUGAUUUAAAGCGUUAGGCCUAAGAAUCGCUGUUUCCUGCUUGGUGGGCAUGCCUUGCUAACAUGCCCCAGCCGACCGGGGAAGCCACUGGCCAUAAGGGAGAGAGGCACAGGGAUGUCUCCCCUCCUCAGAGCGAAUGUCAGGGAAGAAGCCAGGUCUUCCGAGGGGCUGACAAGGCCAGGCGUACAGGCUCCUUCCCUCCAUCGUGUUUCUCUGCAAUGUUCAAAUCACUGGUGUGAUGGCAGCACUUGAAAGCCGAAAAAGGAAAGAUGAAAACAAAGGAUUCUUCAGGGAACGUGUAUACAGACUCCUGCUUCCCCUCACUUGCUUUCUGUUUCACUUCUCAGAUCGUCACGACAGCGUCUGCAGCUUUCCAGCUCAUCAGGGUGAACUUAAGACGAGGGGACAAUGAGGUUGGGUGUUUCGGCAGCACGGUGGUGUCCCAGCUUACAAAACAGACAACUAUGAUUAUUUGGGAUACAUUUUAUCUGUUGUGAGCCUAAACCUUUUUUACUUCUAAAACCUUCAGGUUGCAUUGGUAAACAAGAAGUAAAUAUACACAUUCUAUUUAUUCUUAGAACCAAGAAAUGAACUAAUUGAGUAGCGAGUGUGGACCACAGUUGCAAAGGAAGGAAACUCACAAGCGAGCUCUCCAAGCUGUGAUUAUGUGGGCAGGAAGAAUGGCCUGGGUAAAGAGAAGAUGAAGAGCCAUCACUCCAACCAAACAGCAAAUACGAAAUUCAAAUUAUCCUUUGUAAUUUUUCAGUUAGCAGUGCUGUGUAUCUGUGGAAAUCAUGGGAGAGAUUUAAAAAAAUUCUUAUCACCUCACAAAGGUAGAAUGAAUGGGAACAAAAGCGCUAACUGUAUAUUUCUUCUUAGCCAGCUUCUUCCAGUUGAGCACAUUUUCUUGGCAAAUCGACUAUUUUGUUAGGUUAAAAAGGCUGUCGUUUCCUUUUCAGAGUAAAAUCAGGAAUUUCAUUUUUGUACAAUACUACAGCAUUUCCUAUCAUUGAAUUCUAAUGAUUUGAGAGUGUGUUUUUUGUCUAGGUUUCAAAUACAAAGCAAGGAACAGAAAAAAAAAAAAAAACUCUUUCCAUUUGCAGUAGUUUCAAAAUACACAUGGCUUGAGAUUUUGUAAGUUAAGGAAUUUCCAGCCACAGAGAAAUCAAGAACUGUGACCAAUCCCAGGGCAGCUCUGGGAGGAACAGCCUGUGGAGCGUGGGCAGCCGUGGCCUUCCAGCCUGGCCCCUCUGGCCCUCAGGUGCCGCUCUCUGCUUCUCUUCUUCUGUCUUUUCACCACCAUACCUGCAGCUCUUGGCGUUUGUUAGGACCUUCCAUCCAUCCAGCGGCUUCCAGAAAAUUAUCUAAUGAAUUCAUACCCAUGUAAGUUAUUCAUGGGGUUUAACUGAUUUAUUCAGCAAAUGUGCAGAUGUUUCCAAGCACCCUACUUGUUGAGGUCUCUGAGAAAUAUAGAAAUGAUGCUGGCACUUGAUAAAAUACCAAAAUAAAUCACCACCCUGCAAGGCUUUGGACUCGGUGUCAGAACUGGAAAGGAUCUUGACACCACACAGACCAAACCUCUGAUUUCAUAGAUGAGAACGUUAAGGCCUAGAACCAGCCAAUGACAUGAGCAGAUUUCCACUAAAACUUCAUAGAAAUCUGCUGGUCUCUCCGGUGCUCUUUCUGGAUUGCGUCAAUAUCCAAAUCUUUCUCACAUGUUGUGGUAGAUGAAAUUGCUGUUAAAAUAUUCACUGCCCCUCUGACAGGCUUCUCCCACUGAGAGAAUGACACACCCUCAUCCCACUAACGUCAGCCUUGGCCCUGACUUGCUUUGAGAGUGGAAUGAGAGCAGAAGUGACCUGUGCCGUGGUGCAACAGAAGCUAUCUGCCUUUUUUUUUUUUUUCCUUCCAGGGCUUCCACGUUCAUCUGAAUAAAGACUGCUUCUUCAGCCACAGCUAAGAUGCCUGUAAUAGGAGUGAGAGCCGCCUCUGUUGCUGGAAGCCCCUGGGAUUUCAGAGCUGCUUGUAACUGCAGCUUAACACAGCCUCAGCAGACCGAUACGUCGUCGUGUCGCCAAAACAGAGCAGGAAGGAAUCAGAGUCAGCAGUGAUGGUUCUGUUGGUUAAAACUAGUGACACCGACUGGCACACUCACCUGAAUGGUGCACGAGUUGGCACAAACGGAUUUGUGGAUGUGAUUUGGAAAUGGAGAGAUUCUGUGUCCUAAAACCAAUGUACAGAUGGUGACCUCCAGGAAUACCUAAAAGAACAAAAGUUCUGCAUUGAAGAUUCCUUGUGAAACACUUGGGGUUAUAGUUUGAAGUGAACCAAACAGCCGGCUCAUUGUUUGAGAAACAGUUGUUUCACGGGUGAAUCGACUCCUCUUCGGCAGCCACUGGUUUGCUAAGGAUUUACUUUGAACAUUUCGAUGAUGUAAUUAGUUAAGAUGUGGCCAUACCGGCCUAGGGGGCCCUAAAUCCAGUGAGACUGGUAUCCUUAUAAGAAGACGGAGACACGGGGAGAAGAUGGCCCCGUGAUACCAGAAGCAGACUGGAGUGAUGCAUCUGCAAACCAGGAAACAUCAAGCAAUGCUGGCAACACCAUGAGAAGAGAUAAGGGAGGACCCUUCCCUAGCACUUCAGAGGGCAGACGGCCCUUCUGGCACCGUGACUUUGGACUUCUAGCUUCCAGAACCCUGAGAGAAUACACCUGUGGUUUGAAGCCACCCGGUCUUUGCCAGUGUGUCAUGGCAGCUCUAAGAAACCAACCCAGCGUGGUUAUGCAUUGUCCUUAAGUCCAGAUCUUGGCUAACAGGAAGUGGCAAGAAAAUAAGGAAAAGCCAACUCUCUCUCCUCUCUCUCUGGCCAGGAUGGCGUCUCCUGCCACGUGGAGAAGGAGAGCUGCUCCUUCUGCCAUUACUGCCAUUACUGCUAAUGAAAAGUGAAAUGACAAGUGAGGAGUGAGAAAAUCAGAUGGCCCCUGGUGGGCACACGCUGUGGGACUCGUUAGCCAGUGUAAGGAGCUCGGAGAGGUGUGAGGAAAGGUGUGACAGCGCUCCCCAGAGAGGACGGUUCUCCAGAUUUUGAGAAAGGCAUGUCUUCUCUGGUCAUCUCUAGUUUCAGACCCAGAGAAAAGCCCGGUUCUUGGCUGGUAUUUAAGCUCCUCAUUUUUGUCACAUUGCUUUCUCACUCUAAUGGUCUUGAUCAAGUUUUCACCCUGUGAGAGUCACACACAGGAGGAAUGGGAUGGAGCGCUCAGCCAUUCACAGAGCCCAGCCCUACCUCCCUCUGCUUGGUGUGCUUACUCUUGGCAAAAUGCAACUUCCUGUUCAGAGAAAAAGGACUUAAAAAGGAUCGUAAAAUGGGCUCCCAAGGCUCCUUGAAUAGCAAAUAGCUUUUAAAAGACAACACUUUAAUGGCCUAUGAGUAACCAAGUCAAAAACAAAAGUAUUGAAUAUCCCUUUAAAUGUGUAUGAGUUUAAAAAGCAAGAUGGGAAUAGAUUUGGCAAAGUUUCUUCUGGAUUUUAUAGAAUUCAAAAUGCUCGAAAAAUUUUUACCUAUACGCCCACACACAACUGCAAAACUUUUAUAAACGACGUGGGGAGAUAACAAAAAUGAUACUGUGCAAAUCCAAACAGUAUGCAGCUUCUGCAUUGCUGUGCCUGAUGGAAAUAUUUCUCUCUUUUAUGAGCGUCUCUCUGUGCGUGGAGAAGGAAGAAAGAUGGGCGUAUGAGGCAGGGAGGGGAGAAAGGAGGAAGAGAAGCCUAUUCCGGGCUUCAUGGCCGUUCUCAGUACUCACUCGUGUGCCCUCUAAAUGGAACCAUUUGCUGUACAUUUUGAAUUGCUAACAUUUGGUAGACUAGGGGACAAUGGAUUUUUACGUAAACUAUGAAUUUUAUGACAAUGAAUUAGCAUGUUCAUUGAACAGAAAGUAAACAAAGCUUAGUACAAAAUCGGUUCAGUAGAUAACCUAACUCUUCUGCUGCUUAAUGAAGUGUUGGUGAUGAAACCAAAACAAAUAGCUUUAUGCUUUGUAAAGCACAGGGAAACGUACUUUCGUGUUUAAUUACUGUGUGGUUAUGACAAGGCUGGUACCUGCCUGAACCAUAAGUGACAAAGUUGGCAGCAACCGCUCCUGCUUCAGCAGACUGGGUGUUGAACUAACCAGUUACAGCACUGGCAUUAGAACAGAGAGGGAAAAUGGACAUGCAAAUAUAGUCAGUUCUGACGAACCUCCAACAUCUGUGAAGCACCUACUGCGUGUGUGCCAGGCACUGGGGAUAUGGCACAAUGAGAUGGGGGCAUUUGCAUUGUCCAGAACUCUAGGGAGGGUAGGGAGGAUGAGGCGUGACUGUCUUAGUUGUUUUGUGAUGAUGAAUUUCGUGUCACCUUGACCAGACCAGGUUAGUUCAGAUAUUUGGCUAACCUUUAUUCUGGGGGUUUCUGUGAGGGUGUUUUGGAUGAGAUGGGCAUUUAAAUUGGUAGACCGUGUAAAACAGAUGGCCACCCCCCAAGUGGGUGAGCACUAUCCAAUCUGAGGAGGCCUGAACAAAACAAAAGGCAGAGGAGGGGGAUUUGUUCUCUCUGCCUCACUUCUUGAGCUGGGGCGUGGUUCUUUUCCUGUCAUCUUUUUAGGCCAUCUGCUCUCCUGGUUCUCAGACCUUCGGACUCAGACUGGACCCACACCACUGGCUCUGUUGGGCCUCCAGCGACUUCUACAACUGUGCGAGCCAAUUUCUUAUAAUGGCCCAUGUCCCCCACCUGGGUUCUGACUGUCUGGAGAACCCCAAUUAAUACAGAUUUCUAAGGAGACACCGAGGCAAGAAUUUGAGGACUACUAGUUGAAUAGGAGUGAUCCAGGAAGCAUGGCUAGGAAGGAGAGCGACAGAAAUGAGACAGGGAAAGGAAGGAAGUCAGCCAAGGCUCACUGGCACUGUGGGCAACGGGCCACACUGGGAAAUGUUAUGAAACGGAAGCUGAUGUUCGUCUGCCUGAGGGUGAGGGAGGUGGGCCAGUCAUCUUCCAGCUCUCUCCCACUUCACUGCCUGAGAGUUGCUCCUGGGAGCGUUAACUCCUCAGCCCUUCUGGCCUCUGCUGUGCAGAUCAUGAGACGCCUUCACAGGGAGCACAGCAGGCUCUUGUAGACGGAUGCUCUCCACAGGUCCUGGAAGCUGAGGACUGAGGGCAUAAGGGUGUCCUCCUCUUUCUGCUGCGAUAUUGGGAGAAAAUGUCCAUGAUCCUCAUGGUUCGAGGGAAGUGCAACAAUCUAACCAGGAUGUGUCUCAGUGACUGGCCUCUAUUUCCUUUUCUGGAUAAAGGUACAUACCCAGGAACAUCGAAACAUAUGUCCCUGCAAAAACAUGUACAGGAAUGACCACAGCAGCAAUACUCACAAUAGUCAAAAAGUGGAGACAAUCCAAAUGUCCAUGCACUGACAAAACGAUAAACAACGUGUGGCAUACCCAUAUCCACAUGACGGAGUGUCAUCAGCUGUAAGGAGGAAUGACGUUCUGGUAGGCUGUGUGAAAGAAGCCAGACGCAAAGGCCACAUGGGUCACUCCACGCAUAUGAAGUUUCCGCGACAGGCAGAGCUAUGGACACAGUACAUGGAUUCCUGGUUGCCUAGGGCUGGGGGCGGGGGCGACUAGGGGCAAGUGGGGAGUGACUGCUAUGGGGAGAGGGCAUUUCUCAGAGGUGAGAAAGGUCUCUGAAAAUUGCUUGUGAUGGUGGUUGCACAACUUUGAGAAUAUACUAAAAUUCAUUGAAUUAUAUGCACUAAAUGGGUGAACUUUCUCAUUGAAUUAUAUGCACUAAAUGGGUGAACUUUCUCAUUGAAUUAUAUGCACUAAACGGGUGAACUUUCUCAUUGAAUUGUAUGCACUAAAUGGGUGAACUUUCUCCAUGAAUUGUAUACACUAAAUGGGUGAACUUUCUCAUUGAAUUAUAUGCACUAAACGGGUGAACUUUCUCAUUGAAUUAUAUACACUAAAUGGGUGAACUUUCUCAUUGAAUUAUAUACACUAAAUGGGUGAACUUUCUCAUUGAAUUGUAUACACUAAAUGGGUGAACUUUCUCAUUGAAUUGUAUACACUAAAUGGGUGAACUUUCUCAUUGAAUUGUAUACACUAAAUGGGUGAACUUUAUGGCACAUGGAUUGUAUCUCAA